CGUCCUCAGCGACGGACCGGGC
rnacentral:snRNA from 1 species